rnacentral:lncRNA from 13 species
AAAUAUUGUUGGUCUGGCUUACAUUCCUAGUAAACUGUGUGUAUAUUCAUUUUAUGGCUUAAAAUAUUAUGAUUAUACCUCACGUUUUUAAGCGAAAGAGGAUUUUUAAAAUAGGCAAAACCAAAGGAAAAGAAGAAAAUAUUGGUGUUAUGAAUUAACCUUCAUAAGGUUUUUCAGCAUAUCUGUUCUCGGGGACUGAAAAUCAGAUACCCAAUCUUAAACAGAGGCUGUGGGAUGUCACUGGGUUGUGGAAAGGAUAAAAAUCCUUCCACUCUCUUUCCUUCCCAGCUUUUGUGGGUUUGAACAAAACCCUUACAGCUAUUUGGACUUGGGUUUUGUGGUUAAUAUAUGAUAAAGGGGUUAUUACAAUGUGAUCCUUGAGCAUUUAGGUCAGCUGUGGCCAUCAAUCAAGGGACACCUCUUUUUUGGCAGUACACAUUUCCAUAAAAAAUUCUCUGGCAGAUCCAAGUUAGUUAGUAAUGACAGAGUAACCUCUAUGUCAAGCAACAUGCUUGAUAAAUUUUGCAUGUGCUGUUGACUGACAGAAGCUCUGGCGUUCCGAUAAGAGACUGGAUGUGACCCCACAAGAGCUUACAUCUCAUUCACAUUCAACUGGACGACUAUUUGCAUCUUUCAGGAUCAAGUUCAAAGAGAGGUCAAGGUUGGUGAGAACACCCUUUUUAUUUGAUUCUAGGUUGAUCUUAGCUUGUUUGUGUUUCCCACUACACAGACACUGGCAUACUGGGAUUGUGUUUCUCCACCUUGUGAAAACAAAUAACAACAAAAAAGACCACCUAUGGAGCAGCUAGAUUACAACUAGAUCACCCAAACAUCUGUCUUUCUCGGCCAUUCAAGUAAGGCAAUGAUGAUUCUGAUUUUGAAGAAGGAUAGGAGGAUCUAUUAUCACCUACUGUGGUCUGUUAUGCCAAUUCUGUUCUUGGAGAAAUGGGGAGAAAAACAUACCUAAUUUAAACAAAAAAUUCUCAUAGAUUAAUUAAGAAAAAUUUAAAGAGAUGAGACUAAACAACCACUGAG